rnacentral:rRNA from 1 species
AUUGAACGCUGGCGGCAGGCCUAACACAUGCAAGUCGAGCGGAUGAAGGGAGCUUGCUCCUGGAUUCAGCGGCGGACGGGUGAGUAAUGCCUAGGAAUCUGCCUUGUAGUGGGGGAUAACGUCCGGAAACGGGCGCUAAUACCGCAUACGUCCUGAGGGAGAAAGUGGGGGAUCUUCGGACCUCACGCUAUCAGAUGAGCCUACGUCGCAUUAGCUAGUUGGUGAGGUAAAGGCUUACCAAGGCGACGAUCCGUAGCUGACCUGAGAGGAUGAUCAGGCACACUGGAACUGAGACACGGUCCAGACUCCUACGGGAGGCAGCAGUAGGGAAUCUUCCGCAAUGGGCGAAAGCCUGACGGAGCAACGCCGCGUGAGUGAUGAAGGUCUUCGGAUCGUAAAACUCUGUUAUUAGGGAAGAACAUAUGUGUAAGUAACUGUGCACAUCUUGACGGUACCUAAUCAGAAAGCCACGGCUAACUACGUG